GCGCUUACUAUGUGCCAAGAACUCGCUAAGCAUUUCCUGCCUAUUAAAUGUACCCACAACUGCAAUAGUACCCUGCUGUUGUGAAAUAACAAGGCUCUCAUGAUAGAGCCUUACUCCUUGCUGGCAGGGGGCCAGUGCUUCUGCACAUGACCUCAUGAGGAGCCCUUUGUGCCUGGCAGAGGAAGCUCUGGAGAAGUGGUGGCUGUUACUAUUAAUCUUCAAAAUGACCAGAUGAGGCAGCUGGCAGCAGUACCAAGCAGCAAGCAUCUGCACACUAGAACUCCUGGCUGCCAUGUGCCAGCCUGGCCCACCCCAACAGCUGCCCCAGGGACAGCAGGGUGGCAUCGGGUGAGUCGGCAGGUGCAGUGGGGCUGGGGCUGGGGCUGGGGCAGGGAUGGUGCGUUCCACCUACUGCCUUCUGAGGUACAUGGGAGAGGAGGGCAGCACAGGGCGGGCUCAGCCCUCUGCAGCCCGCCACAUGUGCCACUGGACAAGUGGCUGGAUCCUCAUGCACUGUGGGGUGCCCCGACGGGCAGGCGACGACACUGUGCUGU
rnacentral:lncRNA from 1 species